UUUUGCAAUAAGUUUGCGUAUUUUUUAGAAACGGAAGAAUUAUUUUUCCGUGCGGUAGUCGAGGUGGUGGUCAUGUUUAUUUCAGGUGCAAAAAAAGCUGGUGCUUAGUUUUUUUUUGCACAGUUUCUCGUUGGAUUUGUGUUAUAUGGAUUUUUUUGCACCAAUAAAAUCAGUUCCCGAGGCAGAUCCAACAGUUCGAAAUGGCGCGUUUCAAUGAAACCCUGAAGGGAAACUUGAAGGAAGGUUCCAAAAUGAAAUGAUAACAGACAACUCCGUAUUUCUGGGAAAGAAUGCAGUUUCCGGCGAGGUUUCCGGACAGCAUCAUCGAAAAGUAUCCUUAAAGUUAUGGCUUCUUCUUUGUACCUAGCUGGAGAUAUUUUUAGAAACGAGUGAUGAAAUAACUGAAUAAAGGAUAAU